rnacentral:lncRNA from 1 species
AAAAAAUAUAGCAAAAUUUUUUUUCUGAAUUUUUGUAUUUGAUAUUGAGUACUAUAUCUCUUAAAAAUGUUUUUCUCUAUCCAUAAUAUAAAGGAAAAAAAUACAUUAGAACUUGUAUGUAAUCUUGUGCAAAACUAUGAAAUUAAGGAGAUAAGGCAGAAGCAAGAAAAUGGAGCUCAAAUUAAAUCUCUCAAAGCAAAUUGAUUUAUAUUUCACUAUGUUUGCAAUUAUAAAUUUAUUUCCAUGUAUGUGUUUCUUUGCUAGAAAUGAUAAAUGGCUGCCACCCCAACUUCUGAUUCUUAGGCAACUCCAUUCUACCAACAAACCACUCAUUUUGAUUUGAUAACUCCUGACAACCUGCAUUUUGACAACCCUACUUUGGAUGAAUUUUCAAUAAAGCCAUGGUAAGAUAAUCUGCAAAGAGCUAGAUGGGUGCAUUGGGGGAUUUAAUCCUGGAAGAAGUUUGGAACAGCUGCUGUGGACGCUGUGCAGUGUCAGUGAAAGGACUGCUGAGCAGUAAUGAGGCCCACUUACCGACCAACAGCAGGACUUUUUCUCAGGUGACCAUGCUUGGGGAUUUUCGUAGUUUGAGUAAUUCCCCUGAGCUCUGCCACCCAGCAAGUUAAAGAGGACAAGAUUGCUCCCUGGGGAUUGUAGUUCUUCGCAGGUCAGCGGCUUGUUUUCAUGAGGUCUGCACCCUGACCUGGCCUACUGUUAGGAGCUGUUGUGUUGGUGGUUUAUGCUGUUUUUAGCUGUUUCUUCCAUCUUACACAGUUAUUUGUAUAUAAGGAUUUUUGAAAAGUAAAUGUCUUAUAGGACUGUUUUGCUUCUACAAAGAAAAAUUAAAACUGUUUCAAAGUAAUUACUUGUGUUUUUUAUGUUUCUAUUUUAAAAUAAAUGAAAGUAUUAAUUGAUGUUGCCUGGAAAG